AUUGAACGCUGGCGGCAUGCUUUACACAUGCAAGUCGAACGGUAACAGGCCGCAAGGUGCUGACGAGUGGCGAACGGGUGGGUAAUGCACCGGAACGUGCCCAGUCGUGGGGGAUAACUACUCGAAAGAGUAGCUAAUACCGCAUACGAUCUAUGGACGAAAGCGGGGGACCGUAAGGCCUCGCUCGAUUGGAGCGGCCGAUGUCGGAUUAGGUAGUUGGUGGGGGAAAGGCUCACCAAGCCAACGAUCUGUAGCUGGUCUGAGAGGACGACCGGCCACCCGGGGACUGAGACACGGCCCAGACUCCUACGGGAGGCAGCAGUGGGGAAUUUUGGACAAUGGGCGCAAGCCUGAUCCAGCAAUGCCGCGUGCAGGAAGAAGGCCUUCGGGUUGUAAACUGCUUUUGUACGGAACGAAACGGCUCUGGUUAAUACCCGGGGCUAAUGACGGUACCGGAAGAAUAAGCACCGGCUAACUACGUG
rnacentral:rRNA from 1 species